AAAGGAAUAGACGGGGGCCCGCACAAGCAGCGGAGCAUGUGGUUUAAUUCGAAGCAACGCGAAGAACCUUACCAGGGCUUGACAUCCCUCUGACGGGACUAGAGAUAGUCCUUUCUCUUUUGAGACAGAGGAGACAGGUGGUGCAUGGUUGUCGUCAGCUCGUGUCGUGAGAUGUUGGGUUAAGUCCCGCAACGAGCGCAACCCUUAUCAUUAGUUGCCAGCACGUUAAGGUGGGGACUCUAAUGAGACUGCCGGGGAUAACCCGGAGGAAGGUGGGGACGACGUCAAAUCAUCAUGCCCCUUAUGUCCUGGGCUACACACGUGCUACAAUGGCCAGUACAGAGGGAAGCGAAGCGGUGACGCGGAGCAAAUCCCAAAAAGCUGGUCCCAGUUCGGAUUGUGGGCUGCAACUCGCCCACAUGAAGUCGGAGUUGCUAGUAAUCGCGAAUCAGCAUGUCGCGGUGAAUACGUUCCCGGGCCUUGUACACACCGCCCGU
rnacentral:rRNA from 1 species